rnacentral:rRNA from 1 species
AACGAACGCUGGCGGCAUGCCUAACACAUGCAAGUCGAACGAGACCUUCGGGUCUAGUGGCGCACGGGUGCGUAACGCGUGGGAACCUGCCCUUAGGUUCGGAAUAACUCCCCGAAAGGGGUGCUAUUACCGGAUAAUGUCUUCGGCCCAAAGAUUUAUCGCCUUUGGAUGGGCCCGCGUUGGAUUAGCUAGUUGGUAGGGUAAAAGCCUACCAAGGCGACGAUCCAAAGCUGGUCUGAGAGGAUGAUCAGCCACACUGGGACUGAGACACGGCCCAGACUCCUACGGGAGGCAGCAGUGGGGAAUAUUGGACAAUGGGCGAAAGCCUGAUCCAGCAAUGCCGCGUGAGUGAUGAAGGCCUUAGGGUUGUAAAGCUCUUUUACCCGGGAUGAUAAUGACAGUACCGGGAGAAUAAGCUCCGGCUAACUCCGUG